CUCUGCUCUGCCAACACCACCCUGCUUGCCUGGUUUUGUCUCCCUAAGAAAUCUCACAGAGACAUUCAACACUUUCUGCCAUCAGCUCAGGAAAGCUGGCGUCUAGUGGACUUCUACAUCAGUCUCCUGCUUCAGGAACACGAUGGACGGUCACUCACACAGACCACAGAUAGGGCACCGCGACACGCCGACAGCACAGUGCUGGGUAAUCUAUACAGACGUUUCUCCAGGUAACCAAGAUUUACCAGGAACCAGUUCGGCAUCAAACCUCCAUGAAGAAGAGACCUACAGAAGUUCCACUUCCGGAAGAAAAGGUCACUGGUCAUCACAGAGGGAGGUCUCGACAAAAGCUCAAAACAGGAACUCUGCUCUCAGACUCACGCUCCUCCAGCUUGCACCUGCCCAGGGAUGGUACC